rnacentral:rRNA from 1 species
UACGUAGGGGGCAAGCGUUGUUCGGAAUUACUGGGCGUAAAGGGCGCGUAGGCGGCACGGCAAGUCGGGAGUGAAAGGCCUGGGCUCAACCGAGGAACUGCUUUCGAGACUGCCGAGCUAGAGUCCGGAAGAGGCGAGUGGAAUUCCUGGUGUAGCGGUGAAAUGCGCAGAUAUCAGGAGGAACACCGAUGGCGAAGGCAGCUCGCUGGGACGGUACUGACGCUGAGGCGCGAAAGCGUGGGGAGCAAACAGG